rnacentral:rRNA from 1 species
UGAGGAAUAUUGCGCAACGGCCGCAAGUCUGGCGCAGCAACGCCGCGUGGGCGAUGAAGGUCUUCGGAUCGUAAAGCCCUUUUCUAGAGGAAGAGGAAGGACGGUACUCUAGGAAUAAGUCUCGGCUAACUACGUGCCAGCAGCCGCGGUAAAACGUAGGAGACAAGCGUUAUCCGGAUUCAUUGGGCGUAAAGGGCAUGCAGGUGGUGCCUUAAGUUGGAUGUGAAAUCUCCCGGCUUAACUGGGAGGGGUCAUCCAAAACUGGGGCUCUUGAGGGCAGGAGAGGGAAAUGGAAUUCCCGGUGUAGCGGUGGAAUGCGUAGAUAUCGGGAGGAACACCAGUGGCGAAAGCGGUUUCCUGGCCUGCAUCUGACACUGAUAUGCGAAAGCUAGGGGAGCAAACGG